ACUUAAAUAACUUAUAGAGAGUGUGAUAUUGAAGAUAUUAAAGAGAUUGACUUAAAUCUUUAAGUA
rnacentral:tRNA from 1 species